AGAGUUCGAUCCUGGCUCAGGACGAACACUGGUGGCGUGCCUAACACAUGCAAGUCGAACGCGCUCCAUUCGGUAGCAAUACUGAUGAAGAGCGAGUGGCGAACGGGUGAGUAGCACGUGAGCAACUGCCCCGAAGACCGGGACAACACCGGGAAACCGGUGCUAAUACCGGAUAUCCCUAUCGGACCGCAUGAUCUGAUAGGGAAAUGGAUUCCGCUUCGGGAGGGGCUCGCGGCCUAUCAGCUAGUUGGUGAGGUAAUGGCUCACCAAGGCAUCGACGGGUAGCUGGUCUGAGAGGACGAUCAGCCACACUGGGACUGAGACACGGCCCAGACUCCUACGGGAGGCAGCAGUGGGGAAUCUUGCGCAAUGGGCGAAAGCCUGACGCAGCAACGCCGCGUGGAGGACGAAGGCUUUCUGAGUUGUAAACUCCUUUCAGCAGGGACGAUAGUGACGGUACCUGCAGAAGAAGCACCGGCCAACUACGUGCCAGCAGCCGCGGUGAUACGUAGGGUGCAAGCGUUGUCCGGAUUUAUUGGGCGUAAAGAGCUCGUAGGCGGUUUGAUAAGUCGGGUGUGAAACCUCCAGGCUCAACCUGGAGCCGCCACUCGAUACUGUCAUGACUAGAAUUCGGUAGGGGACCACGGAAUUCCUGGUGUAGCGGUGAAAUGCGCAGAUAUCAGGAGGAACACCAGCAGCGAAGGCGGUGGUCUGGGCCGAAAUUGACGCUGAGGAGCGAAAGCGUGGGGAGCGAACAG
rnacentral:rRNA from 1 species